UUUCCUUUUAUUUCUUCUCCUUUUUUCCUUCUUUUUUUCCCUAUUUCUCUACCCGAGCCCUAUUUCUUCCCUCGCAAAACCUUCCUCCCCUCUUCUCAUCGCCGAUUCUCUUCGUCGAGCUCGUGUCGUUGCCUCCUAUUGAUUUCCUCUUCCUCAUCAUCUCCCCCUCUGCUUCCUUCAACGAGGAGCGGUGUCGGCGUCCCUUUGCCCUAGCCAAGCCAGUCGUCUGAGAGCCGCCAUCACUCCUCUCCUUCUCCCGAGUGCAGCCGUGGCCGAGUGUAGUCGUCGCCGGAAAGAGGGAUCAUCACCAGCCCUCGUGUCUUUGCCCUAGAGCGCCGACAGCCUCCUCUCUACCCUCUUCCGAUCCUGAGGUUGCUUUCGUGCUGGCACAGAUCCACCAUCGCUGUGCCCUAGCUCCGCUCCUCCAUUUUCCUGAGUUCUCUCCUCUCACGCGGUCCGUGUAGAAGGAAGCAUCCACUGCUUGGUGUCGCCGUCCCCGUCGCCGUCGCUGGGAGGGUGGAGUUGACGAAGGGGUUGAGGGCAAACUUUUCCCCUUGCUUGCGGAUCUGAGUAGAGCUGUAAUGUGCCCUAAGUCGAAUCAGUGGUUGCUCUACCUGGCUGUGGAUCAACAGCGGUGGCUGUGAGAUUGCGGACUUUGAUUCGAGACGAGCAUCUCGACUUGGGUUUUAUCGGAUACGACAUUCUUUUGAGGCGGGU